rnacentral:rRNA from 1 species
GCUAACGCGUUAAGCACUCCGCCUGGGGACUACGGUCGCAAGACUAAAACUCAAAGGAAUUGACGGGGACCCGCACAAGCGGUGGAGCAUGUGGUUUAAUUCGAUGCAACGCGAAAAACCUUACCACUUCUUGACAUGGAGGUUAGAUCUUUCUUAACAGAAAGGCGCAGUUCGGCUGGACCUCACACAGGUGCUGCAUGGCUGUCGUCAGCUCGUGUCGUGAGAUGUUGGGUUAAGUCCCGCAACGAGCGUAACCCUCAUCCUUAGUUACCAGCGGGUAAUGCCGGGCACUUUAAGGAAACUGCCGGUGAUAAACCGGAGGAAGGUGGGGAUGAUGUCAAGUCAGCACGGCCCUUAUGGGGUGGGCUACACACGUGCUACAAUGGCGACCACAAUAGGUU